CAAGCACUUAAUAAUGCCCUUCUUAAUCACAAUUACAUUUAAUUGGGUCGGGGGAAUGCAUGUCAUUGCAGUUGAUACCGUCAAGAAUCUCUUUAACUUGUACCUCAAAAAACCAGAAUGGAACUAUCGAUGUCCCCACUUCAGAUAUAUGUAGAAAAAACUCUGGCCAUUAUCAAACCAGAUAUUGUUGACAAAGAGGAGGAGAUACAAGAUAUUAUUAUCAGAUCUGGAUUCACCAUUGUUCAGAGAAGAAAACUACAGCUUAGCCCUGAGCAUUGUAGUAACUUUUAUGUGGAACAGUAUGGAAAAAUGUUUUUCCCCAACUUAACAGCUUAUAUGAGUUCUGGACCACUUGUUGCCAUGAUAUUAGCUAGACAUAAAGCCAUCUCUUACUGGAAAGAACUUUUGGGGCCAAGUAAUAGCUUAGUAGCUAAGGAGACACACCCAGACAGUCUAAGGGCAAUUUAUGGCACAGAUGACCUAAGGAAUGCACUUCAUGGGAGUUAUGAUUUUGCUGCAGCCGAAAGAGAAAUUCGAUUCAUGUUUCCUGAAGUGAUUGUUGAGCCUAUUCCAGUGGGACAAGCUGCGAAGGACUAUUUAAAUUUAUAUGUAACACCAACUCUGCUUAAAGGACUCACAGAGCUUUGUAAGCAAAAACCAGCAGAUCCUUGUAGAGUGUGGAAAGGAGGGGGAGAGACACCCAGAGAGGAAAACAUUGAUGUGAGAGAGACACAUUGAUUGGUUGCCUCCUGCACACACUCCGACCUCAGGCCAGAGAUGGAGCCUGCAAUCAAGGUACAUGCCCUUGUGCCCUUUACCGGAAUUGAACCUGUGAUCCUUCAGUUCAUGGGCUGACUCUCUAGCCACUGAGCAAAACCAGAUUUGGCUAGCUGAUUGGCUGUUGAAAAAUAAUCCCAACAAACCUAAACUUUGUCACCAUCCAAUUGUAGAAGAAACUUAUUAAAAUAAAGUCCUCCAAAGAACAAA